GACGAACGCUGGCGGCGUGCUUAACACAUGCAAGUCGAACGAUGAAGCCGGAGCUUGCUCUGGUGAAUUAGUGGCGAACGGGCGAGUAACACGUGAGUAACCUGCCCUUGACUCUGGGAUAACUGCUAGAAAUGGUAGCUAACACCGGAUACGACCCUCGGAGGCAUCUUCAGGGGGUGGAAAGAAUUUCGGUCAAGGAUGGACUCGCGGCCUAUCAGCUAGUUGGUGAGGUAAUGGCUCACCAAGGCGACGACGGGUAGCCGGCCUGAGAGGGUGACCGGCCACACUGGGACUGAGACACGGCCCAGACUCCUACGGGAGGCAGCAGUGGGGAAUAUUGCACAAUGGGCGCAAGCCUGAUGCAGCAACGCCGCGUGAGGGAUGACGGCCUUCGGGUUGUAAACCUCUUUUAGUAGGGAAGAAGCGAAAGUGACGGUACCUGCAGAAAAAGCACCGGCUAACUACGUGCCAGCCGCCGCGGUAA
rnacentral:rRNA from 1 species